rnacentral:rRNA from 1 species
UACGAAGGGGGCUAGCGUUGCUCGGAAUCACUGGGCGUAAAGGGUGCGUAGGCGGGUCUUUUAAGUCAGGGGUGAAAUCCUGGAGCUCAACUCCAGAACUGCCUUUGAUACUGAAGAUCUUGAGUUCGGGAGAGGUGAGUGGAACUGCGAGUGUAGAGGUGAAAUUCGUAGAUAUUGGGAAGAACACCGGUGGCGAAGGCGGCGCUCUGGACCGAGACUGACGCUGAGGCGCGAAAGCGUGGGGAGCAAACAGG